AUGACAAUAAUCGUGAUGUUUGAGCAGAUGAGAGUGAACGUGGGCAAGUUGCUCAAGGGUAUCGACAGGAACAAUCCUAAAAACCUGGCCACCUUGGAGUGCUACGUGGAGACAUAGGCCAAGGAGAAUGCCUAUGAUCUGGAAGUCAACCUGGCUGUUCUGAAGCAAUACAGGUUCAACCAGUCUUCCUUCAGACUAUGGUCGCUGCCCAGAUCCUGCUGAAGGCCCUCAAAAACCUGCUCCACACUGACUUCACACCCUGUGCAAGUGCAUGAUUGACCAGGCACAUCAAGAAGAGUAGCCGAUCUGACAGAUUUUGUACCUUGGGGACCUUCUGGGAACCUGCCACUUCCAGACCUUCUAGUAAGUCUUGGAUGAAAACAUGGACCUCUUGGGAGGGAUAACUGGCUUUGAAGACGUUGUCAGAAAAUGUUUCUACCAAGUCGUGGGUAUCAUCUACCAGCACAUCGACCACUGGCUGCUGGCAGAGAUGCGUGGGGAUCUGAUGGACAGCCAACUGAAGGUGUGGAUGAGCAAGCAGAGAUGGAGCACCAACACGUCGGGGCAGAUCUUUAUCUGCGGCCAAGAGGAGAGCAUUAAGACUAAGAACAUCGUGGAGAAGAUUGACUUUGACAGUGUGUCCAGCAUCAUGGCCUCCUCCCAGGAACUAGAGACUUCUAAUAAAGAUUGUUGACUUGGCAAAAAAUAAAAAA